rnacentral:rRNA from 1 species
UACGUAGGGGGCUAGCGUUGUCCGGAAUCAUUGGGCGUAAAGCGCGUGUAGGCGGUCCGGUAAGUCCGCUGUGAAAGUCGGGGGCUCAACCCUCGGAUGCCGGUGGAUACUGUCGGGCUUGAGUACGGAAGAGGCGAGUGGAAUUCCUGGUGUAGCGGUGAAAUGCGCAGAUAUCGGGAAGAACACCCGUGGCGAAGGCGGCUCUCUGGGACGGUACUGACGCUGAGGCACGAAGGUCAGGGGAGCAAACGGG